GCCACUGAUGAAGUUGUCCAAUGUUUGGAGGCUGCAGUCGGCUCCAAGUUCCUGCUUGUCAGGUAGAACCUACUUGGAGCUGCUGCACUCGCAUGACAAGACUGGGCAAUACUGAGGC
rnacentral:snoRNA from 1 species